rnacentral:rRNA from 1 species
GAUGAACGCUGGCGGCGUGCCUAAUACAUGCAAGUCGAGCGAACGGACGAGAAGCUUGCUUCUCUGAUGUUAGCGGCGGACGGGUGAGUAACACGUGGAUAACCUACCUAUAAGACUGGGAUAACUUCGGGAAACCGGAGCUAAUACCGGAUAAUAUUUUGAACCGCAUGGUUCAAAAGUGAAAGACGGUCUUGCUGUCACUUAUAGAUGGAUCCGCGCUGCAUUAGCUAGUUGGUAAGGUAACGGCUUACCAAGGCAACUAUGCAUAGCCGACCUGAGAGGGUGAUCGGCCACACUGGAACUGAGACACGGUCCAGACUCCUACGGGAGGCAGCAGUAGGGAAUCUUCCGCAAUGGGCGAAGGCCUGACGGAGCAACGCCGCGUGAGUGAUGAAGGUCUUCGGAUCGUAAAACUCUGUUAUUAGGGAAGAACAUAUGUGUAAGUAACUGUGCACAUCUUGACGGUACCUAAUCAGAAAGCCACGGCUAACUACGUG